rnacentral:rRNA from 1 species
GUGCCAGCAGCCGCGGUAAUACGUAGGCAGCGAGCGUUGUUCGGAGUUACUGGGCGUAAAGAGUGCGUAGGCGGUGCUCUAAGUUUGGUGUGAAAUCUCCCGGCUCAACUGGGAGGGUGCGCCGAAAACUGGAGUGCUCGAGUAUGGGAGAGGUAAGCGGAAUUCCUGGUGUAGCGGUGAAAUGCGUAGAUAUCAGGAGGAACACCUGCGGUGUAGACGGCUUACUGGACCAUGACUGACGCUGAGGCACGAAAGCGUGGGGAGCAAACAGGAUUAGAUACCCUGGUAGUCC